GAUGAACGCUGGCGGCGUGCCUAAUACAUGCAAGUCGAGCGAACGGACGAGACGCUUGCUUCUCUGAUGUUAGCGGCGGACGGGUGAGUAACACGUGGAUAACCUACCUAUAAGACUGUGAUAACUUCGGGAAACCGGAGCUAAUACCGGAUGAUAUUUUGAACCGCAUGGUUCAAAAGUGAAAGACGGUCUUGCUGUCACUUAUAGAUGGAUCCGCGCUGCAUUAGCUAGUUGGUAAGGUAACGGCUUACCAAGGCAACGAUGCAUAGCCGACCUGAGAGGGUGAUCGGCCACACUGGAACUGAGACACGGUCCAGACUCCUACGGGAGGCAGCAGUAGGGAAUCUUCCGCAAUGGGCGAAAGCCUGACGGAGCAACGCCGCGUGAGGGAUGAAGGUCUUCGGAUCGUAAAACUCUGUUAUUAGGGAAGAACAGAUGUGUAAGUAACUGUGCACAUCUUGACGGUACCUAAUCAGAAAGCCACGGCUAACUACGUG
rnacentral:rRNA from 1 species